rnacentral:rRNA from 1 species
GGGGAAUAUUGCACAAUGGGGGAAACCCUGAUGCAGCAACGCCGCGUGAAGGAAGACGGUUUUCGGAUUGUAAACUUCUUUUCUUAGUGAAGAAACAAAUGACGGUAGCUAAGGAAUAAGCAUCGGCUAACUCCGUGCCAGCAGCCGCGGUAAUACGGAGGAUGCGAGCGUUAUCCGGAUUUAUUGGGUUUAAAGGGUGCGUAGGCGGUUUGAAAAGUCAGCGGUAAAAGCCCGGGGCUCAACCCCGGCGAGCCGUUGAAACUGACGGACUAGAGACGGAGAGAAGUACGCGGAAUGCGCAGUGUAGCGGUGAAAUGCAUAGAUAUUGCGCAGAACUCCGAUUGCGAAGGCAGCGUACCGGCUCCGGACUGACGCUGAGGCACGAAAGCGUGGGUAUCGAACAGG